rnacentral:lncRNA from 1 species
GUCAUGCCACUGAAUCAACAGGUAAAGAGGAUGAUUGUUUUAAUUCAUUGGAGUGAUUGACACUGAUCAUAAGCAGAAAUAGUGUUGCUAGGAGGCAAUAGGGGUAAGGAAGAGUAUUUCCGGAAUGCAAGAGAAAAAUAAACAUCACCCCAAAAAUUUUUUUUUAGGUGAUGAGGUGCAGAGGGAGAAGGAGAGAGAGAAUCUUUAGCAAGCUCCAUGCCCAGUGCAGGGUCCUAUACCAGCCCAAACUCACAACCCUGAGAUCAUGACCUGAGCUGAAAUCAAGAGUUGGAUGCUUAACUGACUGAGCUACCCAGGCACCCCUCACCCAAAGAUUUUUUAAAGUGUGUGUUGGAGUGGAUUUUGUAUCCUUUUCUGGGGGAAAGGGAUGUGUGUUUGGGGUUGCAUGUGGUAUAGGUGUGUCAUGGUUGGUGGAAACAUGAAGUUGCUAUUGUCUUUAUUUGGAGUUUAAAUACAGUUUAAGGAGAUGCACAUAGGUUCCAAGUCAAGGAAGGAAGGGCGUGCUGGGUUUGUAAUGUGUCAGCAUGCCUAGAAUGAACUGUAUUUCCAAGAAUUCCUUUUCCUGUGUGUUUUUGGUUAGGGUAGGCCAUAAGACAGAUUCGGGUUUGAGACUUUGAAUGAGGCAGUGAAGCAGAAGUCACUUUGUAGCUAACACCCAUUGUCACCGAUGUGCUGACUCACCUGUUUGAUGUGAGGCAGUGACUGGGCUGCAACUUACCCACUUCCCCUGGGUCCCCUUAGCUCCUGCAAUUCCUGGACUUGAGGUAUGUGUUGAGUUCCAUGAUAAAGGACCCAGCUAACGCAUGACACUCACACCACUAGGGUCAGAGGCAACAAAAAUCGACAUGAGUUUCAGUCUGUCCUCAUGGGCUUCUAUGCUUUGGAUUCCAGAUCUUGUUCUUGCCAUAUUACAUCAGCCUUGCCUUUUCAAAUAGAUGCUAGGACUGUCCUGCCUUACAGAGAUUGUUACACAAUUACAUAAGGUCAAAUCCCUGUAACAAAUCCCUAUAAAUAUAAAUGUAAUAUAAGUAUAAACAUAUGUGUACGUAUAUGAAAAGCAGACUUACUAGGAUAUAUAUAUAUAAGUGUGUGUGUGUGUAUAUAUAUAUAUAUAUACACACACUAUACUAUAUACUAUAUAGAUAUACUAGUGGUUCUUCAUUUAUUAUUGGACCAAUACUGAUACAUAAUACAAAAUAUAUUCUCUUACCAUAAUGGAAUUAAUCUAAAAAUCCAUAAAAGAAUGAUUACAGGAAUAUCUCCAAACACUAGGAAAUUAAACAACACACUUUUAUUUAUUUAUUUAUUUAUUUUUAGAGAGAGAGAGAGAGAGAGAGCAUAAGCAGGGAUGGGGAGGGGCAGACAGAGAGGGAGAGAAACAAUCUUAAGCAGGCUCCAUGGUCAGUGUGGAGCUGGACCUGAGGCUCAAUCUCACAACCCUGAGAUCACGAUCUGACCAGAAAUCAAGAGUUGGACACUUAACUGACUGAGCCACCCAGGUGCCCCAAAACAACACACUUUUAAAUCAUGGGUCAGGGACGCCUGGAUGGCUCAGAUGGUUAAGUGUCUGCCUUCAACUCAAGUCAUGAUCCCAGGUCCUGGAAUCGAGCCCCACAUCGGGUUCCUAGCUCAGCGGGGGGUCCUGCUUCUCCCUCUCCCUCUUUCUCUCCCUUUGCUUGUGCUCUCUAUGUCUCUCUCAAAUAAAUAAAUUAAAAAUCUUAAAGAAUAUAUAAUGAAUCAAAGAAGUCUCAAAUGACAUUAGAAAUGUUGAACAGCAAAUAUACCAAGUUUUUCAUGCUACUCUGUAGCACCUAGAAUACAUUAAUACGUCCUCUAUUAAUUGAAGGGUAUCUUAGGUGGGGUUCCCCAGAAGCAGAGCCUGAGACAGGGAUUCUUGUACAAGUGACUUAUUGGAGGAGCUCUCAGGAAGAGUGGAUUAAGGAAGUAAGGGGAGAGGAGAAGUCAGGAAAAGAGCAGCAAAGCUCUUUUAAGGAUAGCAAAGCUAUCCUUAGCAGGAGCCUACCUCUAGAACAUAAUAACACCAUACAAUUAACCCCCUUCAGACAAGGGGCUGUGGCCUUUACAGUAUCAGGCAGUCAUUGGCUGCAAGCCAAAGUGAGGGCUGUUUCCAGACAUCUCUGGGAUAGCCAGCUCCACUGGGCAGAGGUCAAUUCUCCAGAGAAAGGGAAGCCCUGAGCCAUAAGCAGUCAACACUUAAGAGUAGCUGGGGGCUGGGUGUGCUAGCCUGAUAAAAGGGUCUAUCUGGGCAGGGCAUCAGCAGCAUCCAUUAAAAAGGGUUUCAGAAGAAAUUUAUUUGUCAUGAGACGUCUAACACAUUUUCUUUUAUUUUGAGACAGAAAGGCAUCAUCUUUCACUAUGGUGUGUGAGCAUGGAAACAGCAUUUAAAAACAUGGUUUCCUUCUACUGUCACAAAAAAAUAAUUCUUAAAAAAAAAAAA